GGACGAACGCUGGCGGCGUGCUUAACACAUGCAAGUCGAACGGAAAGGCCCUGCUUUUGUGGGGUGCUCGAGUGGCGAACGGGUGAGUAACACGUGAGUAACCUGCCCUUGACUUUGGGAUAACUUCAGGAAACUGGGGCUAAUACCGGAUAGGAGCUCUUGCUGCAUGGUGGGGGUUGGAAAGUUUCGGCGGUUGGGGAUGGACUCGCGGCUUAUCAGCUUGUUGGUGGGGUAGUGGCUUACCAAGGCUUUGACGGGUAGCCGGCCUGAGAGGGUGACCGGCCACAUUGGGACUGAGAGACGGCCCAGACGCCUACGGGAGGCAGCAGUGGGGAAUAUUGCACAAUGGGCGGAAGCCUGAUGCAGCAACGCCGCGUGCGGGAUGACGGCCUUCGGGUUGUAAACCGCUUUCGCCUGUGACGAAGCGUGAGUGACGGUAAUGGGUAAAGAAGCACCGGCUAACUACGUG
rnacentral:rRNA from 1 species